AGGGAUAUGUGAGAUGUUUUGGCAAGGCUGGAGGACUUGAAGAAGCGCAAGGCUGCUGCGCAGAAGGGGACGCUCGCCGAGCUAUUGCCACGGUCACUUCAGCCAGGGCGACAGCCAAGGAACUUGUCAAAGCAGCAGUUUAAAAAGGUGUUUGAUAUGCUGAAAUACAGUGCUUCUAGAGGUAAUGAGGAGCUACCUGAUGAUUCUGUUGGAUUCAUCUGGGUCUUGGUCUUGGAAAUCUCCAAGCUCACCAUGUCCGGCUUCCAGAAGAGCAGCGGAGUCUCCCACCAGAGACUCUUCC